rnacentral:rRNA from 1 species
UACGAAGGGGGCUAGCGUUGCUCGGAAUCACUGGGCGUAAAGCGCACGUAGGCGGAUUGCUAAGUCAGGGGUGAAAUCCUGGAGCUCAACUCCAGAACUGCCUUUGAUACUGGCGGUCUCGAGUCCGGGAGAGGUGAGUGGAACUGCGAGUGUAGAGGUGAAAUUCGUAGAUAUUCGCAAGAACACCAGUGGCGAAGGCGGCGCACUGGCCCGGUACUGACGCUGAGGUGCGAAAGCGUGGGGAGCAAACAGG